rnacentral:rRNA from 1 species
AUUGAACGCUGGCGGCAUGCUUUACACAUGCAAGUCGAACGGCAGCGCGGGCUUCGGCCUGGCGGCGAGUGGCGAACGGGUGAGUAAUGCAUCGGAACGUGCCCAGUCGUGGGGGAUAGCCCGGCGAAAGCCGGAUUAAUACCGCAUACGACCUGAGGGUGAAAGCGGGGGACCGAAAGGCCUCGCGCUAUUGGAGCGGCCGAUGUCGGAUUAGCUAGUUGGUGGGGUAAAGGCUUACCAAGGCGACGAUCCGUAGCUGGUCUGAGAGGACGACCAGCCACACUGGGACUGAGACACGGCCCAGACGCCUACGGGAGGCAGCAGUGGGGAAUGUUGGACAAUGGGGGCAACCCUGAUCCAGCCAUGCCGCGUGCGGGAAGAAGGCCUUCGGGUUGUAAACCGCUUUUGUUCGGGAAGAAAUCCUCUGGGCUAAUACCCCGGGGGGAUGACGGUACCGGAAGAAUAAGCACCGGCUAACUACGUG